UACAAAGUGAAUGACUUAUUCAUGAGAUGCUUGCUUUAAGUGGUGAUUGAGGUUAAUCCUCAAAACUGCUCUUGAUUUCCACAGAUUUUUGCCUGGCGUUGAGCAUCCACAGAUCCUCUCAAUGCCCUGUUAUUUCAUUCGGACUUUCCUGGAAACAGAAUUUGUAUGGACCAUAAAGUGAGCUGACCUCACAAAGGGAUAGAAAGAAGUGAUGUGAGGUUGCUGAAUGACUUAAAAAAAGCGCCUCCUAUGGCUGAACCAACAGAAGCCAGGUGAUGGGGGAGCCUUUGAUGCAGACAUGGAGUACUGUUCUCUCAGCACUCUGUCUUACAGGUGACCCUCAAACAAGGCAACAUGACAGUUACCACAGACUCCUCUCAUCCAUCAUGAGAACACUGUGAUAGAAUUGUCUCUUAGGGACGCGGAGGACAGGCUCUGAAAGAGUAUGUACAAAGCCCUAUAAAGCAUA